GUCAGGGCUGGAGGGAGAUCUUGAGGUGAGGAGGAUGGGCCAGAGAGUGACUUGCACAUCACUUAGUGAGAAGUGAAGUCAGGAUCUGAAUCCAGGCAGGCUGAUUCCAGCAUCAACAUCACCACUUAGAACUGGACCUCCCCUUCCCUCUGCCCUCCUCUGACUCAGCCACAUGCCAGAAGCACACGACGCUUGUCACAACACAGGACUUGCAC
rnacentral:lncRNA from 1 species